CUGGUGUGGGCUCUCUGACUGCCCUACUGAUCUCUUGCUUUACUGGAUUUGGGUGAGGACUGAGGAGAGGGACAGGAGGGUAUGCACUGGAUACUAUUCACACUAAAGGAUUAGAUGUCCCAGCUGAAUCUCCCCAAGCCCCACGUCUGCGGCAAAGUCUUCGUGGUGAAACAGGCAGUCUUCAGUAUGAGACGCAUCAAUCUCAGAUCUUACUCAUUUCCAACUUGUACCAAUCAAAGGCCCUCCCAGCGAAGAUAAAAGCAAAGUCUCCUUCCUCCAGAGCAUGUGGGAAUGGCCCCCCAAUAGCUGGGGCAUGCAAGCUGAUGAAGUUUCAUCUUCCACCUCUACCCAAAUAUGACCUUGCUGAUACCAUCUCCUAUUAG
rnacentral:lncRNA from 1 species